UACGUAGGGUGCAAGCGUUAAUCGGAAUUACUGGGCGUAAAGCGUGCGUAGGCGGUUGCGCAAGACAGGUGUGAAAUCCCCGGGCUUAACCUGGGAAUUGCACUUGUGACUGUGCGGCUGGAGUGCGGCAGAGGGGGAUGGAAUUCCGCGUGUAGCAGUGAAAUGCGUAGAUAUGCGGAGGAACACCGAUGGCGAAGGCAGUCCCCUGGGCCUGCACUGACGCUCAAGUGCGAAAGCGUGGGGAGCAAACAGG
rnacentral:rRNA from 1 species